AUGUUAGCGGCGGACGGGUGAGUAACACGUGGGUAACCUGCCUGUAAGACUGGGAUAACUCCGGGAAACCGGGGCUAAUACCGGAUGGUUGUUUGAACCGCAUGGUUCAGACAUAAAAGGUGGCUUCGGCUACCACUUACAGAUGGACCCGCGGCGCAUUAGCUAGUUGGUGAGGUAACGGCUCACCAAGGCGACGAUGCGUAGCCGACCUGAGAGGGUGAUCGGCCACACUGGGACUGAGACACGGCCCAGACUCCUACGGGAGGCAGCAGUAGGGAAUCUUCCGCAAUGGACGAAAGUCUGACGGAGCAACGCCGCGUGAGUGAUGAAGGUUUUCGGAUCGUAAAGCUCUGUUGUUAGGGAAGAACAAGUGCCGUUCAAAUAGGGCGGCACCUUGACGGUACCUAACCAGAAAGCCACGGCUAACUACGUGCCAGCAGCCGCGGUAAUACGUAGGUGGCAAGCGUUGUCCGGAAUUAUUGGGCGUAAAGGGCUCGCAGGCGGUUUCUUAAGUCUGAUGUGAAAGCCCCCGGCUCAACCGGGGAGGGUCAUUGGAAACUGGGGAACUUGAGUGCAGAAGAGGAGAGUGGAAUUCCACGUGUAGCGGUGAAAUGCGUAGAGAUGUGGAGGAACACCAGUGGCGAAGGCGACUCUCUGGUCUGUAACUGACGCUGAGGAGCGAAAGCGUGGGGAGCGAACAGGAUUAGAUACCCUGGUAGUCCACGCCGUAAACGAUGAGUGCUAAGUGUUANGGGGUUUCCGCCCCUUUAGUGCUGCAGCUAACGCAUUAAGCACUCCGCCUGGGGAGUACGGUCGCAAGACUGA
rnacentral:rRNA from 1 species